rnacentral:rRNA from 1 species
AGCAGCCGCGGUAAUUCCAGCUCCAAUAGCGUAUAUUAAAGUUGUUGCAGUUAAAAAGCUCGUAGUUGAAUUUCGGGGAUCAAAUUGUCGGUCGUGCCUCGGUACGCACUGGCGUUAUUGGUUUCUCCCUUCUGACGAACCAUGAUGUCAUUUAUUUGGUGUCGUGGGAAAUCAGGACUGUUACUUUGAAAAAAUUAGAGUGUUUAAAGCAGGCUCACGCUUGAAUACAUUAGCAUGGAAUAAUGAAAUAGGACGUUUGAUUCUAUUUUGUUGGUUUCUAGGAUCGACGUAAUGAUUAAUAGGGAUAGUUGGGGCAUUAGUAUUCAAU